CAUACCUUGGAUACUUUCAAAGGACAUCUUCAUAUAGAUCUUAAACAUGUUCGUGUCCUGACUCCAAUACCUGAAGGUCUGGAUUAAGGCAAUCUUUUCGACUGACUUAUCUUUUCUUUAUUGAUAUACUGAUUUCAGUCUCAACUACAGCUGUUGCACGAAGGAGGAAGAUUAAGGAAGCUUCUGCCCCAAAAGACUCUGGGACAUCUAAAAGCAAUAAACCAAGUGGGAGUGACUCCCUCGUCACUGAUAAGAAGCCCACGAGUUCGAAACCCCCAACGGGUUCGAAGCGUAAAGCUUCUUCGACCACUGGUUCGGAUGGCGAAGAUAAAUCCCCUCCUCAAACUAGACAAGGACAGAAGAAAAAACACAAAGCUGUUACCCCUUCAAGAAAAGGGAAAAAGGCAAGUCCUUCCAAAGCUGUUUCUCCUGGUGAUAAAGCGUCCUCUGAAGAGUCUCCUUUGAAAGCUGCUAGUAAUGCUUUCGUUGUGGAAAGCCAUAAUUCAAGUCCAGACAAUAUUCCACCCAAGGAUGAUGCUGGCACUGCUACUUCCGGUUUUAAAGACCCUGGC